UAAUACAGAGGUCCCAAGCGUUGUUCGGAUUCACUGGGCGUAAAGGGUGCGUAGGCGGUCGGGUAAGUCUGACGUGAAAUCCCGCAGCUCAACUGCGGAACUGCGUCGGAUACUAUUCGGCUUGAGGAAUGGAGGGGAGACUGGAAUUCUCGGUGUAGCAGUGAAAUGCGUAGAUAUCGAGAGGAACACCAGUGGCGAAGGCGAGUCUCUGGACAUUUCCUGACGCUGAGGCACGAAAGCCAGGGGAGCAAACGGGAUUAGAUACCCCGGUAGUCCUGGCCCUAAACGGUGCGCGUUUGCUGUGAGCGGGGUCGAAUCCGUUCGUGGCGAAGCUAACGCGUUAAACGCGCCGCCUGGGAAGUACGGCCGCAAGGUUA
rnacentral:rRNA from 1 species